rnacentral:rRNA from 1 species
GACGAACGCUGGCGGCGUGCUUAACACAUGCAAGUCGAACGGAAAGGCCCCUUUGGGGGUACUCGAGUGGCGAACGGGUGAGUAACACGUGAGUAACCUGCCCUUGACUUCGGGAUAACUUCAGGAAACUGGGGCUAAUACCGGAUAGGAAUCCUUGCUGCAUGGUGGGGGUUGGAAAGCUUCGGCGGUUUUGGAUGGACUCGCGGCUUAUCAGCCUGUUGGUGGGGUAGUGGCUUACCAAGGCUUUGACGGGUAGCCGGCCUGAGAGGGCGACCGGCCACAUUGGGACUGAGAUACGGCCCAGACUCCUACGGGAGGCAGCAGUGGGGAAUAUUGCACAAUGGGCGGAAGCCUGAUGCAGCAACGCCGCGUGCGGGAUGACGGCCUUCGGGUUGUAAACCGCUUUCAGCAGGGGCGAAGCUUGUGGUGACGGUACCUGCAGAAGAAGCACCGGCUAACUACGUG